UACGGAGGGUGCAAGCGUUAAUCGGAAUUACUGGGCGUAAAGCGCACGCAGGUGGCUGAGUCAGUCGAUUGUGAAAGCCCUGGGCUUAACCUGGGAAUUGCAGUCGAUACUACUCAGCUAGAGUAUGGGAGAGGGUAGUGGAAUUCCCGGUGUAGCGGUGAAAUGCGUAGAUAUCGGGAGGAACAUCAGUGGCGAAGGCGGCUAUCUGGGAAGAUACUGACGCUGAGGUGCGAAAGCGUGGGGAGCAAACAGG
rnacentral:rRNA from 1 species